rnacentral:rRNA from 1 species
GGUUAAGCGACUAAGCGUACACGGUGGAUGCCCUGGCAGUCAGAGGCGAUGAAGGACGUGCUAAUCUGCGAAAAGCGCCGGCGAGGUGAUAUGAACCUUUGACCCGGCGAUGUCCGAAUGGGGAAACCCAGUGCAAUCCGUUGCACUAUCGUUAACUGAAUACAUAGGUUAACGAGGCGAACCGGGGGAACUGAAACAUCUAAGUACCCCGAGGAAAAGAAAUCAACCGAGAUUCCCCCAGUAGCGGCGAGCGAACGGGGAGCAGCCCGGAGUCUGAAUCAGCUUGUGUGUUAGUGGAACGGUCUGGAAAGUCCGACGGUACAGGGUGAUAGUCCCGUACACGAAAGCACACAUGCUGUGAACUCGAAGAGUAGGGCGGGACACGUGGUAUCCUGUCUGAAUAUGGGGGGACCAUCCUCCAAGGCUAAAUACUCCUGACUGACCGAUAGUGAACCAGUACCGUGAGGGAAAGGCGAAAAGAACCCCGGCGAGGGGAGUGAAAAAGAACCUGAAACCGUGUACGUACAAGCAGUGGGAGCCUCUUUAUGGGGUGACUGCGUACCUUUUGUAUAAUGGGUCAGCGACUUAUAUUCUGUAGCAAGGUUAACCGUAUAGGGGAGCCGAAGGGAAACCGAGUCUUAACUGGGCGUUAAGUUGCAGGGUAUAGACCCGAAACCCGGUGAUCUAGCCAUGGGCAGGUUGAAGGUUGGGUAACACUAACUGGAGGACCGAACCGACUAAUGUUGAAAAAUUAGCGGAUGACCUGUGGCUGGGGGUGAAAGGCCAAUCAAACCGGGAGAUAGCUGGUUCUCCCCGAAAGCUAUUUAGGUAGCGCCUCGUGAACUCAUCUUCGGGGGUAGAGCACUGUUUCGGCUAGGGGGCCAUCCCGGCUUACCAACCCGAUGCAAACUACGAAUACCGAAGAAUGUUAUCACGGGAGACACACGGCGGGUGCUAACGUCCGUCGUGAAGAGGGAAACAACCCAGACCGCCAGCUAAGGUCCCAAAGUCAUGGUUAAGUGGGAAACGAUGUGGGAAGGCACAGACAGCCAGGAUGUUGGCUUAGAAGCAGCCAUCAUUUAAAGAAAGCGUAAUAGCUCACUGGUCGAGUCGGCCUGCGCGGAAGAUGUAACGGGGCUAAACCAUGCACCGAAGCUGCGGCAGCGACGCUUAUGCGUUGUUGGGUAGGGGAGCGUUCUGUAAGCCGUCGAAGGUGUCCUGUGAGGGGUGCUGGAGGUAUCAGAAGUGCGAAUGCUGACAUAAGUAACGAUAAAGCGGGUGAAAAGCCCGCUCGCCGGAAGACCAAGGGUUCCUGUCCAACGUUAAUCGGGGCAGGGUGAGUCGACCCCUAAGGCGAGGCCGAAAGGCGUAGUCGAUGGGAAACAGGUUAAUAUUCCUGUACUUGGUGUUACUGCGAAGGGGGGACGGAGAAGGCUAUGUCAGCCGGGCGACGGUUGUCCCGGUUUAAGCAUGUAGGCGGAGGUUCCAGGUAAAUCCGGUACCUUGUUAACGCUGAGGUGUGAUGACGAGGCACUACGGUGCUGAAGUGAUAAAUGCCCUGCUUCCAGGAAAAGCCUCUAAGCAUCAGGUAACACGAAAUCGUACCCCAAACCGACACAGGUGGUCAGGUAGAGAAUACCAAGGCGCUUGAGAGAACUCGGGUGAAGGAACUAGGCAAAAUGGUGCCGUAACUUCGGGAGAAGGCACGCUGAUAUGUAGGUGAAGUCCCUGCGGACGGAGCUGAAAUCAGUCGAAGAUACCAGCUGGCUGCAACUGUUUAUUAAAAACACAGCACUGUGCAAACACGAAAGUGGACGUAUACGGUGUGACGCCUGCCCGGUGCCGGAAGGUUAAUUGAUGGGGUUAGCGGCAACGCGAAGCUCUUGAUCGAAGCCCCGGUAAACGGCGGCCGUAACUAUAACGGUCCUAAGGUAGCGAAAUUCCUUGUCGGGUAAGUUCCGACCUGCACGAAUGGCGUAAUGAUGGCCAGGCUGUCUCCACCCGAGACUCAGUGAAAUUGAACUCGCUGUGAAGAUGCAGUGUACCCGCGGCAAGACGGAAAGACCCCGUGAACCUUUACUAUAGCUUGACACUGAACACUGGUCCUUGAUGUGUAGGAUAGGUGGGAGGCUUUGAAGCGUGGACGCCAGUCUGCGUGGAGCCAACCUUGAAAUACCACCCUUUAAUGGCUGGUGUUCUAACGUAGACCCGUAAUCCGGGUUGCGGACAGUGUCUGGUGGGUAGUUUGACUGGGGCGGUCUCCUCCCAAAGAGUAACGGAGGAGCACGAAGGUUGGCUAAUCCUGGUCGGACAUCAGGAGGUUAGUGCAAUGGCAUAAGCCAGCUUGACUGCGAGCGUGACGGCGCGAGCAGGUGCGAAAGCAGGUCAUAGUGAUCCGGUGGUUCUGAAUGGAAGGGCCAUCGCUCAACGGAUAAAAGGUACUCCGGGGAUAACAGGCUGAUACCGCCCAAGAGUUCAUAUCGACGGCGGUGUUUGGCACCUCGAUGUCGGCUCAUCACAUCCUGGGGCUGAAGUAGGUCCCAAGGGUAUGGCUGUUCGCCAUUUAAAGUGGUACGCGAGCUGGGUUUAGAACGUCGUGAGACAGUUCGGUCCCUAUCUGCCGUGGGCGCUGGAGAAUUGAGGGGGGCUGCUCCUAGUACGAGAGGACCGGAGUGGACGCAUCACUGGUGUUCGGGUUGUCAUGCCAAUGGCACUGCCCGGUAGCUAAAUGCGGAAAAGAUAAGUGCUGAAAGCAUCUAAGCACGAAACUUGCCCCGAGAUGAGUUCUCCCUGAGACUUUAAGUCUCCUGAAGGAACGUUGAAGACUACGACGUUGAUAGGUCGGGUGUGUAAGCGCAGCGAUGCGUUGAGCUAACCGAUACUAAUGAACCGUGAGGCUUAACCUU